UUCUGAAAGGAAGAUUAAUACAAGAUGGCAUCAUGAGUCCGCAUGUUCACAUGAUUAAAGGUAUUCCGGUAGACGAUGGGGAUGCGUUCCAUUAGAUAGUAGGCGGGGUAACGGCCCACCUAGUCUUCGAUGGAUAGGGGUUCUGAGAGGAAGGUCCCCCACAUUGGAACUGAGACACGGUCCAAACUCCUACGGGAGGCAGCAGUGAGGAAUAUUGGUCAAUGGGCGAGAGCCUGAACCAGCCAAGUAGCGUGAAGGAUGACUGCCCUAUGGGUUGUAAACUUCUUUUAUAAAGGAAUAAAGUCGGGUAUGCAUACCCGUUUGCAUGUACUUUAUGAAUAAGGAUCGGCUAACUCCGUGCCAGCAGCCGCGGUAAUACGGAGGAUUCGAGCGUUAUCCGGAUUUAUUGGGUUUAAAGGGAGCGUAGAUGGAUGUUUAAGUCAGUUGUGAAAGUUUGCGGCUCAACCGUAAAAUUGCAGUUGAUACUGGAUAUCUUGAGUGCAGUUGAGGCAGGCGGAAUUCGUGGUGUAGCGGUGAAAUGCUUAGAUAU
rnacentral:rRNA from 1 species